UACGAAGGGUGCGAGCGUUAAUCGGAAUUACUGGGCGUAAAGCGCACGCAGGCGGUUUGUUAAGCGUAGAUGUGAAAGCCCCGGGCUCAACCUGGGAUGGUCAUUUAGAACUGGCAGACUAGAGUCUUGGAGAGGGGAGUGGAAUUCCAGGUGUAGCGGUGAAAUGCGUAGAUAUCNGGAGGAACAUCAGUGGCGAAGGCGACUCCCUGGCCAAAGACUGACGNUCAUGUGCGAAAGUGUGGGGAGCAAACAAGAUGAGAUACUCUUCCUUCUGACUGCCUCUCGACUU
rnacentral:rRNA from 1 species